rnacentral:lncRNA from 1 species
GGCUCCUCACGAAUGCUCGUUCAUGAUUUCACCCUUUUGAUGGCUGAUGUUGAUCGAACUCCUUCGAUCGAUGUGUGCUGACUCCUCGGAUGCUCUAGAUCAUCUGCACGAUUGGUUGAGAGGCUGAUGGAUCUCUCUCUAAAAUUUGGUAGACUCACGACACUCGUGGCACACCAAUCUCACUUCCCGAACCCUAGGUAGAAACCCUAGGGUACACACCAAAAAUCCUGUGCCCACUUCUCUCUCCUUUUUCUCUCCUCUCGGUAAAUUUUGAACACUUCAAAAUUUUUCCAGAACCUCCCCAC